rnacentral:rRNA from 4 species
UUUAUGGAGAGUUUGAUCCUGGCUCAGGAUGAACGCUGGCGGCGUGCCUAAUACAUGCAAGUCGAGCGAACAGACGAGGAGCUUGCUCCUCUGACGUUAGCGGCGGACGGGUGAGUAACACGUG